AUGAGAAGGGGGAAAAGACUUCCCCGAGCCAGCGCCUCUCGGACUCCCGGGCUGGAAGAAGCCCGCUCUGUGGUUCAGGCCCUGAAGCCUGGCUCUCACGUGGCAGUCACCGCUCAUCGCCUUAGCUUCCGGGCAGCGACUCCGCAGUGGGCUGCUGCCAUAUCCCACCAGCAGGGCACCGAUUUGGGCUUGCGGGACAGUCUUGUUCACCACAAGUGUCUUCCACUGGACUGGAGGCCUGAAGCCAAGUCCAGCCCCUCCCGCCUGUGUUCUCCGGGGCCAUUCCCCGGCUUCCCAGGCUGAGGGCCAGGCCACUGGCACCGAGCAGGAGUAGCCCCGCCGGCCCCUUUCUGCUGCUGACAGCUGGGCCUGUGCAUCACCCUUCACCCCUGUGAGCUCCGGGGCGCAGCUCACCCCCCACUCUCCAGGGCCAAUUAGGAAACCAGGCAGAUGCGGACUUCAAAGGCACUUUGAAAACUCCACAUUAGUAUAAAGCUAUGAAUCAGUUUAUGUUUCAGAUUAAAUGCCUUGGGCUUGUCAGCAUCCUGGAGAUGUGAACUUAACACAAAACCUCUUUAUAGCCAGGAGGGCUGAGUUCAGAGGGGCCAAGCAUCUUCUCCAAGGUCAAACAAAAGUGGAAAGCAGGGCUGGAACCAGACCCCAGUCUCCCAGGCCGGUGGCCGGGUACCUUCAGCAUCACCCAGAAAUACAUGCAGAUUCCUCCCCAGGAUCGACUCGCUGAGCGCCACGGCCGAGCUUGGAAACCCACCCAGCUCUCCUUCUGCAGCCUGGGAAAAGACUUUUCACUUGGAAUCCUUCCGAUGCAGAUGUGUGAAGACUCUGGUAGCGACAUCUCGGGGACUGAGCAUCUUCUAUUGAUUGGAAAAACACACACAGCACCAGUGAGUUUGCAGAGCACACGCCGCAUUUUUCAGGGUUUGGGCAGGCGGAAAGCCAGCCGCGGGGCCUCAGCGCCCCCUGGGAGCCAUAGCCGGUAGUGCUCCCUGACGGAGCAGAAGGAGCCCAGCGGGCGGCUGGGAGGGAGGGAAGCCGGGCACCCUCAGAGGCAGGCAGCCCUGCGGGAGGCUCGAAGAAGAGCCACGCACGCCCAGCCCUGCCAGUGCAUCCCUGUGUGGCUUUGGGCAAAUCACAUCACCUCCCUGGUCUCCAGCUUCCCCACUGUAAACUUGGGGUACAGCCUGUGUGCACCCCACGGCCUUUGGAAUGGGCUGUGUGACCUCCUGCAAGCCACGAACCUCUCGGUGCGUCACGUUCUUGGCAGGGACAGCUGCCCACCCGCGGAGCGGCUGGUAGAGCUGCAGCAAAAAAUGAGCAGCCAACUGCCACGCACAGGUCUCUUUGAAUUUGAUCGAUGGACACAGCCCAGCCUCGGGGGCCCCUCUGGGUUCGACCAGCAGGCAGGAAAGACACAGGAACAAGGACCAAAGACGACCUGGAGUCUAAGCACCAAGGACAGACGGGUGUCCCUGGCAGGAGCCUGAGCUGCGGGAACCAGGGGCCUCGGCUGUGAGUCCCUGCCCUUCUUCCUCUGGGGGAUCCCCUCUGCUGCCCAGGACAGCUUGCCAGCCACCUGCUCCAGAAGCCUCCUGGCCCCAUUGUGAGCCCUUCAUCAGGCCGAGUGGAGGACCGUCACCGUGGGUAGGGAGAGGAGCAGCCGGAGCCCAGGUGUGCAGAGCCCAAGGCCAGAGCUCCUCAUCCACCACUGUGGCUGGCGGGAGGGGGCCCUGAGAUUGGCCCAUCCCCAGGAAGACAAGAGGAUUGGGGUGCGGACAGGGCUGGGGAGGUAUGAGAGUUCCAAGAGGGUGGUUUGCAGAGGGGAGGUAGGAGAGAAAGACCAGGGCAUGUGGCAGGAGAGACACAGCCAUCCCUGAGGGAGGGGCGGUUCCCUGCUGUCUGAUGCCCAGGGCCCCUCCGCCACCCAGCUUCCCUGCCUGUCCCUCCGCAUCCUGCCCUGUGUGGAGUCACCAUGCCCAGGAAUGCAGAGUUAGGUGCAGCCAGGGGACAAUGCACUUGGGGUCAGUGUCCGGCAGCAGGGGUCAGCGUCCGGCAGCAGGGGCUUCCUUGACCCGACACAGCCCAUGGCUUUGGGCACGCCAGCUCCUCUUAAGGUACAGCCUUUGGAACUGUGAGGCGGCACCUGGUGAUGUGUUGAAUGUGGCAACAGCAGUGGUAGCCGGGGCUUUCUGGGCUCUGCCAAAGUCAGGGAUCACCACCUGUCACUCCUCCGGCCUCCGCAUGGGGUCCCCGAGCCCACCCCCUGCUUCAUCCCUGGUUUUCCUGUGAGGAAACCAGGCACACAGAGGCCAAGCCGCAGAGCAGCUGCAGAGGGAGGGAGGUGGGCGGGACUCGCUGACUGUACAUCAGGCUCUGCCAAGCUCAUGAAACACUGGCUGUUACCGUGGCCAGUGUUGUCCUUCCUCUGCCUGGCCUGCAGGGAGCUUGCAAGACUCCAGUAGCCAGAGUCCUUUCGACCCCCUGAAAUGGCCACACAAGCAACGGCAAGGCCUGGCUGCAUACAGCACCUGGGAUACAGUGGCUGGGCCCAGCAGAGUGAGUCCAGGCCAGGACCCACCAGGUGAGGGGCACCCAGGGGUCCUGUGAAUGACAUCUCCAAGGAAGGCAGGAAACAGCUGAGUCAGGAACCAGUAGAGGUGUGAGGUCCUGGCAGGCAGAGCCCAGCAGGAAGAGCUGGUUCCAGCAGCCCUGAAGGAUCCCUGGAGGGUCCAGAAAGGGGAAGGUCCCUAGGAGGAGGCAGAGACUCCCGAGGGAGCAGGAGCCCCCAGGCCUGGGCUGCUGGAUGGAGUGAGCAAGGUGGCUUGGAGGCUGGCAAGGGGCAGGCGGUGGUCCCAGGCUAGCAGGAGAGCACAGGAAGGGGUGGGUGGCGGGAACCUCGUGCCGUCCACAGAUGGGGCUGUUGCUGCCUGGGAGAAGGGACAGGAGGAGUGAAACCCACAGGAUGCUGUAAGGCACCAGGGCCAUCUAGAGCAAACGGGCCGACCACUGGCCUGGCUGGGGCACAUCUGGAAGGAACAGCUGUGUCCUAAAGGCUCAAAGGAAGCAGCCUGAUGGUGGGGGCACUGGAGAUGCCCGAGGGGGUUCAGCUUCAAGCCUGAUCUGGGGAGGGAAUUGUUCAUGUCAGAUUCCCCAGGGAGUGGCUGCCUACAGGGUGCGGCUUACAGCAUGGGGCCCUGAGAGUGGCUGCCUGCGGGGUGGGGCUCACAGCAUGGGGCCACGAGAGUGGCUGCCGGUGGCGGAGGAGCUUACAGCACGGAGCCCCGAGAUGAACAGAGGUACCAUUGAUGAUCAGUGGGUGCAAAGGAGCAGGGUGACAGGGAGGAUCCCGUACCGGGAUCCCAGUCCACUUCCGUCCUUAAGACAUCCCGGGUCUCAGUCUCACCUAUGAACUGGGUAUACAAAGCAUAUGACCCCACGGCACCACUGGGUCCCCACAACAACCCUGCGGAUUGGGUUGGGAAAAUGAUCCCAUGUUACAGAUUAGGAAACUGAGGCAGAGGCCUAGUUGCCUCUGAUACUUUAGUGCACAUGAGGUGCCCAGUCCUCACCCCAGCCUGCACUUUCUUGUGCUUGGAACUCGCAUGGGUUCCCAUCCCGGGAAGGGAGACCACGGGGGCCUGAGCACAUUCUCCCAUGUGUCAGGGACAGGGCCAGUGACUGGGCAGCAGCGGGGCCUAGCCCCAUAGAGAGCCCAGCUGAGGACAGGGAAAGCUGGCCUGACCUUCGAUGGGCCACAAGGGCCGUGAGCUCUCUUUCCACCCCGCUGUGCUCCUGCUGCUCUCUGCAGACGGGAAGCUCGAGCUCAGGCCUCUGCUUCGGAAAAGCCCAAGAAAGAACCCAAAGCAACAAAUCGUCUCCUAAACAAGAGGCUGCCUGCCGGCGCCGGGGGCGGGCAGUGGGAGGGUGGGCUGUGCGUAAACCUGCCCCGGCGCCUGCAGUUACAGUGAUUCAGGCCCCGAAAGGGCCGGUUUAUUAAAAAUCAUCCCUCUGCGUUCCAGCAUGAGUUAGGGAGUGCGUCUCUCGCGGAGAACGAAUGGGGCUUUUAGAAGUCAAUGUAAGCAACUCUGCCCUCUGCCUCCUCGCGCAGCGGGUGGACGCUGCUACCCAGGACGCUGUGUGGGCCCGGACUGGGUUGGGGAUGGGAGCCUCACUUUUACCAAAGCCAAGAUCCAUCGAGAUUUCUAGCAGAGCCACAACCCUGGAGCCACGACUAAGGCCAAGGAUUCCCACAGUCCUACAUGGCAGAGCGGGGAAGGCCCCUUGGACUGGAGUCUGGGUGCCCCACUACACAGAUGGGAGCAUAGAUGCUCCUGCCCACUCCCAGGACAUGGACAAGGCCCACCCCACCCCUCCACCAUGGGGAGUCCCAAGUCCCCGGCCUCCGUUCCCUCUCGCUGCACACUCCGAACCCCCACCCUCUGGGCCUGCAGCUCACUCCUUCUUCCCCUUUGUCCUCCCUUUCCCCGGGACCAUCCCCAGCAUGACCCCUGGCCUGCUUCUCUCUGGUGUCUAGAGCGAGCCUCACGCCCUGGGCAGGGUGGUGGGCGGAGCGCACGUGCGGAAGGCUCCCACGGGAAUCACCCCACUCCAUGGCUGCCCCUGGCUACCAAGACCCUGCUUGGGGCUGCCUGGGGCAUAGGGCGCUUGGCUGGAGCCCAGCAUGAAUCCGGGCCAGAGAACAAGGAGCUCUGGGCAUGCAGAGCGCAUGCAGCCUGGCUGUCCGUGGAGGUCACGUGGAAGGCACUGCUUCUGGCAAAGAGGAAGAGGAGGGAGGAAGGCUGUGCCUCAGGGCCUGGAGCACCACAGCCACUUCCUGUGCAGUGUCCAGUGCAAAAAAAAAACCAACUCAGUAAGAAGAUGCUCGAGUCCCCACCGUCCCUCUGGGGCUGAAUCCACCUGCCCAUGGAACAGACCCUGAAGGGAGAAAAGCCCUGAGCUCUUAGGUCAGGCAGGAGCAGCCCUGCCGUGGAUGAAGGUGACACUGUGGCACCCUGCGCUGGACCUGAGGAGGGGCCGAGACGGGAGAGGUGGGGGAUGGGAGCGGAGGAAACUCAGACACAGCGAGAUGAAGGAACGUGCCCAAGGCCACACAGCUUCUUGCAAAUCUGCCUCCACGGCCUCUGCUCCCUGGCUGGGCAACUAAGGUGCCUGCAUCCGGCCCUGACCCUGCUUUAGGAGUCCAGAGUCCAGGCACUGGAUUGAACCUGACCUCAGAGAUGGGGAUGGGGGUGAUUGGACCCCUCGCAGGCCACGUCCUCUCCCUGCCAAGCAGCCCCCAGCUGCCCCAAGGUUGUUGCGAGACCACCCGUAGCCAUCCCCGGGCUUGGCGAAGGGCACGCUAGACAAAUGCAGCGGCCUUGUCUUCGCCAUCUUGACUGCGCCAUCCCCAGGGACUCACUGCCUGGCCCGCAGACACAGCCCUUCCUCCAACAAGAUGAUUCUGUUUACUCAAAGAUACCUUUGUGAACAUCUGAUGCCUAAUUUAUGAGGUGAGCAGGCGGGCAGCAGCGUGCCCUCCCCCAUCCCUCUCCUUAUUAAACUGUUCGUGAUCCAA